rnacentral:rRNA from 1 species
AGCGAACGCUGGCGGCAGGCCUAACACAUGCAAGUCGAACGAACUCUUCGGAGUUAGUGGCGGACGGGUGAGUAACACGUGGGAACGUGCCUUUAGGUUCGGAAUAACUCAGGGAAACUUGUGCUAAUACCGAAUGUGCCCUUCGGGGGAAAGAUUUAUCGCCUUUAGAGCGGCCCGCGUCUGAUUAGCUAGUUGGUGAGGUAAAAGCUCACCAAGGCGACGAUCAGUAGCUGGUCUGAGAGGAUGACCAGCCACAUUGGGACUGAGACACGGCCCAAACUCCUACGGGAGGCAGCAGUGGGGAAUCUUGCGCAAUGGGCGAAAGCCUGACGCAGCCAUGCCGCGUGGAUGAUGAAGGUCUUAGGAUUGUAAAAUCCUUUCACCGGUGAAGAUAAUGACUGUAGCCGGAGAAGAAGCCCCGGCUAACUUCGUGCCAGCCGCCGCAGUAACAC